UUUUUCUCCUAAUUGCUUUCUGUUAUCCCAACUAAUGGCCAUCCACAUCCAACUAUCGCAGGUGCCAUCAUCCUCGACCUCUAUAACCAGUUUAUAUGCAGGAGUUGAAUAACACAAGGAGCAACUCCACAAUCCUUUGAUGAGAAAAUCGUCUUUUGUUAUAAUUGAGGGCCUUAAUUUAUGGCUUAAGGAAGGAGUUCUUGAUAUUCUUUUGACGAUGAGGUAUAUGAAGGUCUAAAAAGUGUCUGGGAAGAUUGUAGAUAAGGGACGCUGCAUUGGCACAUGAGGAAGCAACAUGCUUGUCUUUUUUAGUUUACCAUUGUUCAUGUAUU